GGUUCCUCACAGUUCCUUUAACAGAGUAACCUUUCUCUAGAAGAAGUUUAACAAUCCAUGAAGCAAUGAAGCCACCAGCCCCGGUGACACAGACAGUUUGGCCUUGGCAUGGAAGUGAUGAAGUAUCGACAGGCAUGUUGUUUUGAUAUGUGUAUUAUUAUGUGUGCGUGUUUGGUCGUAGAACGAAGGAAGAGAGACAGAGAGAGGGAGGUGUUUUCCUUUUCUCUUGAUUUAGGAAGCGGAUGCUACAAGGAAAGAAGUGGUGGAGUGGAUGUAUUUAUAAUUAAGGUUUAGAGUUACCUUCCUCACCCACUACCGGUAAAUAUUUACCAAAGAGAGAUUCUCUCUUUCCAUUAUUUUUCUUUCCUUGAGGUUUGUGACUGAGUUUUUGUGAUAGGAAUCGUCAGCACCGUGUGUGGAAUCCUGAUUGUUUUGUAAAUGUGUUUUUUUGACCGAACGUGCAUGCUGUUUUUGACCAAAAUGUAAUUAUAAGCUACUAAUAAAUUAAGAAAUGAAAAUAUAUUAUACACAACGACCCAUUAAAUGGUUGUAGAUCACAAGUAGAAAGCAGUACUUAAUUUAAUUUGUUUUGGAAGGGGAGAGAGGGAAAGGAUCUCAUGGAUGACAAGUGUUCAUGUUAAAGAAUAUUUGGUUAUUAUAAUUUUUUUUGUUUUAAAUUAUAAUUUUUAAAAUGUUUUUUAAUUGUUUUAAUGUACUAAUAUUAAAAUUUUUUUUUAAAAAAUAUAUAUAUUAUUUUAAUAUAUUUUCAAACAAAAGAAACUUUCAAAAUUAUUAUUUAUUAUAAUUCUAAACACUAUCAUAGCACAUUGAUUACGAUAUCAUGUUCUUGUAAGCAUACUUUUCUCGAACCCCAUGUGAAUCAUGUCUCUUAAGAAAGUUGACCAGUAAAUGAAUGUCCACUGAUUAAUUAAUACAAGUAAACCAGCAAAGAAUCUGGUGGGGAAAAAAUGUAAUAAGCUACUAAUAAAUCUUACAUGGAAAACUUAUUGUUUUAUGUAUGUAUUUUUUGGACCAAAAGUGCAUGCAUGUUGUUUUUGACCAGUCUCCGGUUCUCUUGUUCUUCUUUGGCGUUUACAUCAAACUUAACUAUUAAUAGAUGAAUGUAUCGAAAUAAUGAAAUCUCCAAGGAUAUUACUAUGUUUGUUUUUAUUAUUAUUAUUAUUAUUAUUAUUAUUAUUAUUUGGAUUAGAUAAAAAAAAAUGGUCAUAUAUAUCAUAGUUUUUCUCGGAUAAUUACAAAACAAAAUACAUUAAUUGAUUAUGGAAAUGCAUAGUUGAAUCUAUAUAUCAUAUGUGCACCAUGCAUGUUUUUUUCUUUUUUUUUAAUUUCCCUAUUCAACAAUGCUCAUGACCAUCAACGUUUACCUUUUGGUCAAAUCAUAUAGAUAUAUAUAAUCUAUCCAUGUUUCUUGUUUCUUGCAUGUAUAAAGAAAGACCCAAUCACAUCAAUUAUUAAUGGUUGAUCCUGAGAGUCCUUCUCUUCCGAGUAACUUCAAAAAUAUUUUCAUAUCUUCGACAAUUUCUUACGUCCAGUUCUCUUCUUUUCCCACUGAUUGACCUCGUCUCUUUUUCUUUUUCUUUUUCUUUUUUAUUGAACGUUUGUUUUUUAUUUAGACCAGCAUUUCCAUCAAAGGACAUGAUCUUUUACUCGGUACACCAACCAUAGUUGUUUGACGUUAUGGUCUCAUCUAUUUUUUAAAAUAUUUUUUGAAUUGGGUUUUUCUUGGAAGAAAUUUUAAAUUUAUAUAUUUUUUAUAAUUUUAAUAUAUUAAUGUUAAAAAUAAAAAUAAAAUCUGAAAAAAUAUUUUUUUUUAUUUCUUAUUAAAAAACACCUUACACCACCGCAUUACAAACACUAUCAAAAAUUUUCGACCCGUAGUGUUUUGAUCGUUGGAUGCUCGUAGUCGGUUUCAAGCACUCAAACUCCCGAGUUCAAGGCGAUGUUAGACUAACGAGUAUAGGAUCAAACGACCCAUCUUAAUGAAAAAUAUAAAUGACUCACUACGGAUUAUAAAAAACUUCGCUGAGUGGUAAUGGAGACGAGAUCACACAUGACUGGUUCAUGUGCUCUUUCCGAUUGACCCCAUGGUCCCAGCAACGACCAACCUCCUCCUCCUCCAGCAGCGCCUCUAUUUUAGAUUUAUUAUAUUUGAACGUAUAAAUGUUUAAAUUUGUAACAAAUAUUUAAUUUUUAUAUUAUUUUAAUUUCUUUUAAUUUAUUUGAUUUUAAUUAUUUUUCUACUUUUGUUCAAUAUAUAUUUUUUAAAAUAUUACUGACGGGAUUACUGAUGGACCAUAUCCGUCGGUAUAUUCCAAAGAUUUGGAAAAAAAAUAUUGUAAAUGUCACUUCUAUUGUUAACUCUUUGAUGGAAUUACAGAUGAUAUUCUGUUGGUGAUAUGCUAUUUUUACCGACGGAUAUACUGAUAGACAAAUAAAAACACUGACGAAAUUGCAUAUGGUAUUUUGUCGGUUAUAUGACGAACUUCCCAGGGGAAAUACUGACAUAAUGAAGUGGGUAAUUUAUUUAUUUUGCGCGCUUUGUCUGCCUUUUAAUCCAUUGAUAAAUUUAUUAACGACGGACUCACUAAUAGACCAUAAAUUACUAACAAAAGCUUUUUUGACAGACUAUUUUCGUCCAUGAACCUAUCGCUAAAAUAUUUGUCGAUGAACUGUGAGUAUAAAUAAUAACAAAAAUUUAUAUAAAUAAAACUUUUAAAUUCAAUAAUUCAUCUAAACAUUCAGAGCUACAACGCUUACGAAGGUCACAAGACUAAAGGAGAUCUUUAUCAAUACGAAAACUCUGAUGCAAGCUGGAAGGCGAGAAUUGUUCCUAAUCUGGCGGGCAACCGACUAAUGGGGAGUCCUAUGUUAAAUAGUAAAUCUGAUGGGAUGCGAGGGAUAUUAUUUACAGCAUCAAAUCUCCUAUAUUUUAGGAUAGAUCUCUUAUCACGAUGCCUUUUUUUCUGCAGGUUAAAUAAAGAAAGAGAGAAUCACACAGAAUCAGAAUCUGAUGGGAAAGGGAUUUUAUUCUUUAAUUUAAAUAUUAUUGUACAAAAUCUUCCAACAUUCAUUGCACUAAGUUGCUUUAUAUAUAUAUAUAUAUAUCAAAUGUCAACGAGAAAGUAAAAAAUAUACAAGCCUUAAAUUGACUAUCUUGUGCAAAUAUAUUGUUUCUUAAAAUCAUAAUAUAAUUUUGCUAAUGAAGAUUUGAAGAAAAAUCUGGAAAGGACCAUGAAAGAAAAAUAGGUUAGUAAUCACGUAAAAAUGUAACGGCCGGAGGCGGAAGGUGUCUCGAAGACUAAGAGAGUGUUUGUCUACGUUGUUGCGUCUGCGUUUUGCUUAAAUUACUAUUCAUGGGUCCCACCAAAUUAUGCGUUUGAAACGCUGGAAAAUGAAAGCAGGUAUUACCUUCUUCUUGCGGCUGCACCAUGCUGCACUCUUCAGUGAACAGUGCAGCAUGGUGCAGCCUUCGCACUGUUCACUAAAGUGAACAGUGCGAAUUUUGUUUUCUUCAAAAAAGCAGCGAACAGUGCGAGUGAAAUAUAAUUCACUCGCAUUGUACAUGAACAGUUUAUUUAUUUAUUUUUUUUCAAAAAGCCAGUUAACAUUUUUUUUUUGAAAAACCAGUGCAGUUAAUUAAUUUCACUCGCAUUGUUCACGUGAAUGUGAACAAUAUUUUUUUUUAAAAAAAUUAGUUUAAGGUGAAUUAAAUUUAUUCGUACUGUAAUUUCAAUUUUAUUCCUUUUAAUAUUUUACCUAAUUUUAUUGCACGCUCAAAGAAUCAUGGAAACUGUAGUUCUUGUCGGAUGAAUUUUGUAUGUAAUGGAAUUGUAGAUAGUUUAAUGGAACAAUAAAUUUUUUUUAUAUAAAGUAUGAUUUAUUUCAUGAUGUAAUAGCAAUAGUUAAAUUUACAAUAUUUAAAUUAAAAAUCAUAAAUAUUAAUAUAUAUAUUUUUAAAUCAUUUUAUAACCUUAAUUUCAAAAGCAUUCUUAACCAAACACAUUAAACUACUUUUUGUUCAACCUCAAUUUCAACCACAGUUUUAACCAAACAUAUAUUUUUUCAAACCAACCUCAACUAAAAAUACUUUUUAUAAAACAAUUUUUUUCAAACUCCAACCACAACAGCUAUCGCAAUACCAAACACACUCUAAAAUGUGGGGUAGGGCCACAUCCCUAACAUGCACAUAAGCUUUAACAGAGUUAGCAUAUGUCUUGGCUGAGCCGGUUACGUACUUGAGGACGUGACCGAUGCUAGCAUUGACAGUGGGUUGCAACAAUGGUCCAAGCACCGACACUAGGAUCACCACCACUAGGUCAACUCCUUUCUUCCUAGCCACAUCCCACGCAUCCUGUUCUGCCACAGUCUUUCCAUAGCAAUACCAAUUCUGCAAUUCCAAGAUGAACUUACAUCAAGAUGUGAAGGAUAAGCAAUUAGGAUUUCAAGAUGCAGUAAGCCCUAUGACGCAAGGAAUAAUGAAAUUACAUCACCAUAUCUUAGGGAUAUUUUUAUUUACACCUACUCUGUAUGCUUUGAGUAACCCAAGUGUAUGUGGGCACAAUAAUAUUUAUGUUAAUCAAUUAUCAUGACACGUGAUUAAUUAGCAUAUAUUUUAUAUCAUGUUGAUUUUAUGGCCGAUCCGUGCUCUAAUUAGGAGCUAUUUAAUUAUGUUAAUCAAUCAUCAUCACAUGUUAUUAAUUAAAUACCUUGGUGUUCUUGCAGAACUCAAGAUCACUCCAGCAAGAUUCAUCAACGACAACAUCCACUACCAGAAAACCGAAGAAAACCAACGGAAUUACCGACGGACAAAUUCCGUCGGUAAUUAAUUCCGUCUCAAAAUCUGUCGGUAUAUACCGACGGCCUAGCUCCGUCGGAGAAACGGUCGGUAUAUACCGACAGAAAUAUUUUGUCGGUAUAUACCGACCGUUUCUCCGACGGAGUAUACAGUUUGUCUGGAAAGAUGCAACGGCGUGGUGACGUGGAGUUUUUUCAGAUGAUUUUACCGACGGAAUGACCGAGGGAUUCAAACUGAGAUAGUUGUACAGUGACGUGGCACUGUCACCGACGGAAUCACCGAUGGAAUUAAUCCGUCGGUGAUUCCAUCGGAAAAAACCAUUAUAUACCCACCCUAUCUGCCGACACUCUCUUCAUCUGUUUCUCCUUCUUCUUCUUUCCCAUCCCACCUCUCCCCUCCCAAACUGCAGUCAACCACCCAUCCCGACUCUCCACUAUUCUCAACACAAGCACUCAAGUUUCUUAUAUCUUGUACGUGGUCACAAUAUCCGUUUCUUGUGGAUUUUAUCAUUUUUUAUGGUAUUAAUUUUUGUUCAUGCUUGUUAAAUCUUUUUGAGAUAGCAUAUAUAUUUUUAGUAUUUUUCCAUUCAUAAUUGGUAUUAGUAACUAGAACAAGAAGUAGAUAAAUUCUGUCACUUUAAUUUAUUAAGGAGGAAUGAAUCAUGUUUAAUUAUUCAAGCUUUUGAAUGGUUGAUGUGCUCUUAAAGUUAUUAUCGAGUGAAUGAGAAUUGUUUCUCAAUAUUGAAUUUGCUUGAUGAUAAAGAGUUAAAAACUUAGUCUAAUUUAUUUAUUAUUAAUCUUCAUGAUUUCUCUUAGUUUUAAGAGAAAUUAAGUUUAUUUAUUUGAAUUGAAAGGAUAGUCAUUUCACUUCUAUGAUCGUAUAACCCUUUGAACUAAGAUAACAAAAUAUAUAGUAAUUACCUUUUAAGUUUUCCAAAUUUCAUUGCUUUUCUGAUUUCUGUCUUAUUCAUACUCCCUUGUCUUAAUUUUUUUAAUUUCAGUGCUUCAUAGACUUAGCUAAAAUUUCUCUUGGAUUCGACAGGGUAUCACCAUCAUACUGCUAGAUAUUGUUUAGGUGAUAGUUAAAAUCGGAAUUAAUAUUUGGAGAUUCUGACAACGGACCCAUUUUUAGCUUGUUUUGGGAUUGGAAGGUGACCCUUUUCCUGCAAGCUCUUAACAGAUUCAUACAAGCACUGUUUUACUGGGGUGAAUUCGAUGCCCAGAUCCUUGAUCUUCUGGUUUGUGAACUUGUAGGGUUGUUUUCUUGGGUUCUUCUCAUCUGAACACCUGCAAAUGCAUUGCAAUACAAAAUAUUAAUAUUCAAGAUUAAUAAUAAUAAAAAAACACAGCACAAUUAAUUCUUUCUACAAACUUGGUAGGUUUUUUUCUACAAAAUAUUAAUAUUCACUAGCUCAUUAAGCACUACAAUUAGACAAACAAGUACUGUAGCAUAUAAUUGCAUGAGAUUAGGAUUUAGGACCCAAUAAUCCUCUUCCUAACUCUCCAUGACAAAAUUUGAAAAUAUAUAACAAAGCAAUUUAACAGAGUAACCUUUCUCUAGAAGAAGUUUAACAAUCCAUGAAGCAAUGAAGCCACCAGCCCCGGUGACACAGACAGUUUGGCCUUGGCAUGGAAGUGAUGAAGUAUCGACAGGCAUGUUGUCUUGAUAUAUGUAUUAUUAUGUGUACGUGUUUGGUGGUAGAACGAAGGAAGAGAGACAGAGAGAGGGAGGUGUUUUCCUUUUCU
rnacentral:lncRNA from 1 species